GGCUGCAGAAUUUAUAACUGUACAAAGGUAGCAUAAUAAUUUGUUUUUUAAUUAAAAACUAGAAUGAAUGAUUAAAUGAAAUAUAAACUGUUUCAAUUAAAUAAAAAUUUAAAUUUUUAUUUAAGUUAAAAAACUUAAAUAUAUUUAAAAGACGACAAGACCCUAUAGAAUUUUAUUUAUUAUUUAAUAAUAAUAAUUAAUUAAUUUAAUUAAAAUUAAAUAAUCAAUUUAAUUGGGGUAAUUUAAAAAUUAAAAAAAUUUUUUCUAUAAAAAACAUAAAUUAAUGAAUAUAAAAUCUUAAAUUUUAAAUUAUUAAAAUUAAUUACCUUAGGGAUAACAGCAUAAUUUUUUUUAAAAGACCUUAUU
rnacentral:rRNA from 1 species